GUGAGUAACGCGUGAGGAACCUGCCUCAAAGAGGGGGACAACAGUUGGAAACGACUGCUAAUACCGCAUAAGCCCACGGCUCGGCAUCGAGCAGAGGGAAAAGGAGCAAUCCGCUUUGAGAUGGCCUCGCGUCCGAUUAGCUAGUUGGUGAGGUAACGGCCCACCAAGGCGACGAUCGGUAGCCGGACUGAGAGGUUGAACGGCCACAUUGGGACUGAGACACGGCCCAGACUCCUACGGGAGGCAGCAGUGGGGAAUAUUGCACAAUGGGGGAAACCCUGAUGCAGCGACGCCGCGUGGAGGAAGAAGGUCUUCGGAUUGUAAACUCCUGUUGUUGAGGAAGAUAAUGACGGACUCAACAAGGAAGUGACGGCUAACUACGUGCCAGCAGCCGCGGUAAAACGUAGGCACAAGCGUGUCCGGAUUACUGGGUGAAAGGGAGCGCAGGCGGGAAACAGUUGGAAUGAAUCCAUGGGCUCAACCCAUGAACUGCUUUCAAAACUGUUUUUCUUGAGUAGUGCAGAGGUAGGCGGAAUUCCCGGUGUAGCGGUGGAAUGCGUAGAUAUCGGGAGGAACACCAGUGGCGAAGGCGGCCUACUGGGCACCAACUGACGCUGAGGCUCGAAAGUGUGGGUAGCAAACAGGAUUAGAUACCCUGGUAGUCCACACCGUAAACGAUGAUUACUAGGUGUUGGAGGAUUGACCCCUUCAGUGCCGCAGUUAACACAAUAAGUAAUCCACCUGGGGAGUACGACCGCAAGGUUGAAACUCAAAGGAAUUGACGGGGGCCCGCACAAGCAGUGGAGUAUGUGGUUUAAUUCGACGCAACGCGAAGAACCUUACCAAGUCUUGACAUCCCUUGACGAUGCUGGAAACAGUAUUUCUCUUCGGAGCAAGGAGACAGGUGGUGCAUGGUUGUCGUCAGCUCGUGUCGUGAGAUGUUGGGUUAAGUCCCGCAACGAGCGCAACCCUUAUGGUCAGUUACUACGCAAGAGGACUCUGGCCAGACUGCCGUUGACAAAACGGAGGAAGGUGGGGAUGACGUCAAAUCAUCAUGCCCUUUAUGACUUGGGCUACACACGUACUACAAUGGCGUUAAACAAAGAGAAGCAAGACCGCGAGGUGGAGCAAAACUCAGAAACAACGUCCCAGUUCGGACUGCAGGCUGCAACUCGCCUGCACGAAGUCGGAAUUGCUAGUAAUCGUGGAUCAGCAUGCCACGGUGAAUACGUUCCCGGGCCUU
rnacentral:rRNA from 1 species